CCAUUUAAAGCCCAAAUCAAACCGCCAAACCGAAUCAAACCGAAUAGUUCGGUUCGAUUUAGAAUCGGUUAACUAUCUGUGUUUGGUUCAGUUUAGUUUUCUUAGCUAAACUAUUCGGUUUGCUCGGUUCAGCCUCAUUCCAGACUGAACCGAUCUUUGCACACCGUUACAAGUGGCAACGCCUCCCUCGCCUGGCAGCUCCUCCGCGAGCUCGCGACGUAUGUGAUGGUGUAGCUGUUGUCCACCUCGUGGCCGCAUCCACGGUGUGCUGUUGUCCCUUCUUCGUGUGGUCUAUGACCACGUGGUUGGUCCAUAACCUUGUGGAUGGCGACGCAUCUUCUGUCUUCCCAGUGCUUGUGUUGCUCGUUGCUGGCUUCCGCAAGCUCGCCAGUUGCGUCGAGUGGUCCCCGACCUGAUGGCUCCUCCGCGACCAUGCGGCUUGUGUUAUGUUGUAGCAUUUUCCUUGGUCGUGGAAGCAUCCACGCCUUAUGGCUUACUGUUGCUGGCUGCUACAGUCCUGUGACCUUCUUGCCGUGCCUCUGCUGUAGGCCCGUGAGAAAUUUCAUUACCGCAAUGCGGCUCACUCCAA
rnacentral:lncRNA from 1 species